rnacentral:rRNA from 1 species
AGCGAACGCUGGCGGCAGGCCUAACACAUGCAAGUCGAACGAACUCUUCGGAGUUAGUGGCGGACGGGUGAGUAACACGUGGGAACGUGCCUUUAGGUUCGGAAUAACUCAGGGAAACUUGUGCUAAUACCGGAUGUGCCCUUCGGGGGAAAGAUUUAUCGCCUUUAGAGCGGCCCGCGUCUGAUUAGCUAGUUGGUGAGGUAAUGGCUCACCAAGGCGACGAUCAGUAGCUGGUCUGAGAGGAUGACCAGCCAAAUUGGGACUGAGACACGGCCCAAACUCCUACGGGAGGCAGCAGUGGGGAAUCUUGCGCAAUGGGCGAAAGCCUGACGCAGCCAUGCCGCGUGGAUGAUGAAGGUCUUAGGAUUGUAAAAUCCUUUCACCGGUGAAGAUAAUGACUGUAGCCGGAGAAGAAGCCCCGGCUAACUUCGUGCCAGCAGCCGCCGUAAAAC